UAGGCAGCCCCGGAAGCGAUAGUACCAUUUCCGGGUGGUUGUCAGUGACGCUCCGGAGCCGUCGCCAGGGUGGUAAUAACCUGGUGCAGAGCUUGAGUGUGGCCAGCGGGUCAGGCUCUUGCUAGAUCAGCACCGGAGGUGGAAGACUGGUACGUUUUACAUACUUUGGGGAAAAAAAACUUUGCUGAAGUUACUAGAAAAGAGACAGUUCUUCUGCUGACAACCCUUGAGGAAAUAAUUUUCUACCUCCUUAGGAUUCGAAGACCAGUUCAUUCUUAGUGUCUUCUGAAAUAAAAUUAGAAUGGAUUGGGAUGAUGAAUAUUCUCAUAAUUCUUUUGACCUGCAUUGUUUGUUAAACUCAUUUCCUGGAGACUUGGAGUUUGAGCAGAUCUUCAGUGACAUUGAUGAAAAGAUUGAACAAAAUGCUGCAAGCAUAGAACAUUGCAUUAAAGAGAUACAGUCCGAAAUUAACAAACAAUGUCCAGGUGUGCAGCUGCAAACAACAACUGACUGCUUUGAAUGGCUAACUAACUAUAAUUACAGUACAUCUGAAUCAUCUUUCAUUUCUCAUGGAGACUUGAUAAAAUUUCUCAAAACACUGCAAGAUUUGUUGAAGAAUGAACAAAAUCAAGAAGAAAUGACAUUGGAUUUACUUUGGGACCUCUCCUGCCACAGCAGCGUUUCAUUCCCAUCAACCCUAAGUGGAACAUCUUUCCAUUUCCUCUCUAGGACGUCUCUUCAUUCUGUUGAAGAUAAUUCCUCUAUGGAUGUCAAGUCUAUGUGGGAUGAUAUAAGACUGCAUCUUCGACGCUUCUUAGUGAGCAAAUUACAAAGCCAUAAUGAAAUAAACAAUUCACAGCAAAAAAUUUUAUUGAAAAAGCAGUGCUUACAACAACUCUUGUUUCUUUAUCCAGAAUCAGAAGUUAUAAUCAAAUACCAAAACAUACAGAAUAAACUGUUGGCUAAUCUUCUGCGGAACUGCUUUCCUUCUUACAACAGAGAUUCAAAUUUAGAUGUAAUAGCUCAUGGAUAUCAAAGUACAAUGCUUAAGUUAUACUCAAUAAUAAAAGAGGAUUUUAACACACUAUGUGAAAUUUUAGCUCCAUCUUCAAUGGUGAAAUUCAUUAAAGAAACUUACCUGGAUACUGUUACAGAAGAAAUGGCAAAAUUUCUUGAAAAUUUUUGUGAGCUGCAGUUCAGAGAAAAUGCUGUUCGUGUGGUUAAAACAAGCAAGAGCUCCAGCAAGCAUAGAGGAGCAGUGCAUGCUUUGGUUACUCCUGAAUGCCCACAGAAAGGAAGAAACUUCUCUCUCCCUUUAGACAAAGUCGAAUUCUUAUCGCAGCUCAUAAAAUCCUUUAUGAAACUGGAAAAAGGUGUUCAAGAAUUGUUUGAUGAAAUACUUUUAUCACUCAAGAUAACCAGGAAUACUUCAGGAAUUUUGGAGAAAUCCGAUAGAGAAGUUGUAAUGGAAAAACCUAGAGCAAACGAAACCAAUAUUCCUUCUGAGCAAUCGCUACCAGGAAAAGAGGCUACCUUACUAGAUUUUGGCUGGAGAAGUGCAUUUAAAGAAGUGUCUCUUCCCAUGGCACACUGCGUAGUAACUGCAAUUGAAGGUUUUUCCACAAAAAUUCUCCAACAGGAACAGAAUGAAAGGUCUUCAGCUGUGAGCUAUGCUAUGAACCUUGUAAAUGUCCAGCAAGUUUGGCAAGACAGCCAUAUGUUUCCUGAGGAGGAACAACCAAAGAAAAUUGGAAAAUUUUGUUCUGACAUCAUGGAAAAACUUGACACAAUGCUUCCACUGGCUCUGGCAUGCAGGGAUGAUUCUUUUCAGGAAAUUAGAGCAAACUUGGUGGAGGCCUGUUGUAAAGUGGCAACAGCUGUCCUGCAGAGACUGCAAGAGAGAGCCAAGGAGGUUCCUUCCAAAGCACCCCUGAAAAACUUGCACGCAUACCUCUCCACAGCAGUGUAUGUCUUCCAGCAUUUCAAGCGAUAUGAUAAUUUGAUGAAGGAAAUGACUAAAAAACCCAUAUUCCUGGUGCUUGUCCAACGAUAUCAGGAAUUCAUCAACACUCUACAGUUUCAGGUUACGAACUACUGCGUCAGAGUUUGUGCUACAAGCAUUUUACAGGAUGCCGAGAGCCACCACUGGGAUGACUACAAAGCUUUUUAUGAGGGGGAAAGAUGUUCCUUCUCGAUCCAGAUGUGGCAUUAUUUCUGCUGGUCUCUUCAUUACGAUCUCUGGACCAUUCUGCCUCCUAAGUUAGCCCAGGAGAUUCUAGUGGAAGUGCUGGAGAAAUCUUUGAGUCUACUGGCCUCCAGAUACGCUCGGGCCCACCCCAGCCGUAAAAGAACUCCACAGUUAAGACUUGAUGUCACAACAAUUUUGAUAUGCACUGAGAACAUGUUAUGGUCAGUUUGUACAUCUGUACGGAAACUUUUGAAUCCUCAUCAGCAUACAGAUGAUAAAAUUUUUAAAAUUCACACUCAUUGUAAUAAUCUGUUUACAACUUUAGUCAUUUUGACUUCACCAUUAACAGAAUUAUAUAAGACUUUUCAGCAUGGCCUGGAUGAGUCUGCUUCAGAUUCCUUAAAAUCAUUUUUUAAGCAACCAUUAUAUUGGGUUUCUUGCAUAUCACAUUUCUACCCUUCUUUACUCAGGACUCCAUCAGCUGGAGGACUGAAAGCCGAGGGUCAGUUGAAACUGCUCUUAUCCCAGCCACGUUGUAACUGGAACUUGCUUCUGGAAACCCUACUGCAUCAUGAUGGACUUUUACUGAGAAUCUUGCUGAAGAGCUCAAAACGUACCUUUCAAGAACAAGUUUCCGACACAGAAAAUAACCUGAACCAAGGACCCAGCUUGAUGGAAGCCAUCUUUAAAAUAUUGUACCAUUGCAGUUUUUCUCCACAAACAUUUGCAAACGUUUUUGUGAGCUACAUGGAAGAAGAGCAAUUAUGGGACUUUUUAUAUAACAUCCCAGUCUCAACGUGCGUGGAGUACGAGCUAGAGGUCAUCCGAUGCUUGAGACUGGCACUGACCGAUGCCGUCAAGGACACUGUACAGCAGAUAGUAUCUGUGAUGAGUUCUAGGAGAAACUGUGAGACAAACCUAAACAAGCACAUUGUUCCUGAUUGUUUGCUUGAGAGCAUGCCAAAAGAAUGGAACUAUAGUCCAAAAGAAACUAACAGGAAAGAAUCAUGCAAAAGCUUCACAAGGCUUGCUGCUCAGGCAGUAUCUAUUGUAAUCAGCAAGUUACCUACGGUGAUUGCAUGUUUGCCUCCCCCAAUUAAAUACUUCUUUUUUCUGUCUGAGAGAAAAAUGUCAAAAAACUUUGUUGAAUUGAAGAAAGCUGGCCUGCUUGUCUGGAACUUGAUUGUAAUUAUAUGUCGGAUAUUUGAGGACGGAAACACUGUGGAACUUUUAACAGGUGCCUCCCUUGACAGAUGGAGUAAAGAAAAACUGGGUUUAAUUUGUAUGUGUUUGGAAAGCAUCAUGGGAGACCAGACAAGUAUCCCUAAUCAAAUGAUCCAAAAGGUCAUACAGAGCAUUGAGCAGCAGAAGCCCAACUGGAUUGAACGUCAAUUGUUGAAAGCAAGGAAACUGAGCACUGAAUGUGCAUUUAUGACAAUAGAGAAAAGCACGGCCUUACAAGAAGGAGAUAUUGCUCUUGAACUGACUGAGCAGAAAAUAAACACGAUGGUCCUGGAUCUCUGCCACAAACCAGGUGGCAGCGAGUACCUGAGGCAAAUUUAUCACAUCAUGCAGCUCAAUGAGGAAUAUUUAAAAGAACAGCUGUUUUCUAUGAAUAGUUCAGAGGAAAAGCCAUUACCCAUCCGACCUUUAAAGACGACCUUGAGGAGUAUAGAAGACCAGCCUUCUGCCUUUAACCCUUUCCAUGUGUAUAAGGCGUUUAGUGAAAACAUGCCAGAUCAGUCAGCCAUCACAAAAUGGAACUGGAAUUGGGCAAAGUUGCUGCCAAAUUAUCUGAGACUGGAUAAGAUGACCUUCAGUGUGCUGCUCAAAAACAGGACUCAUUGGAGGGAACCGAUGAACCAUACAGCAAGAUCCAGAUGGCUGAUUUUUACAAAGAGGGGCAACUGCAUAGCAUCUUCUUUUCUCACUCUCCUUUCUGAGAUGUUGCCACUGUCUAACUGAGUGGCUGCUUGAUCUUUAAAACCAAUACUGGAUUGAGAGCUCCUUGAGAGAUGAAACUGCAUCUAAUCAUUCUCUCUCCUGCAAUUAAUCACAUGGACAAUUACGGAAAGAAAUGAGGGCUACAACAUCCACACUUGAGGACUGAUAUCAGUAUUGCUUGGUAUUGUUAUCAAUCAGUAUUGUUAAUGAUAUCUUUGAUAAUUUCCCUCUAAUAUCUCUAUAUUCUCUCAAAAUAAUCCCUUAAAUAUUAUUGGGGUGAAAAUAGUUUAUCUAAGUAACUUUACCAAGUUUAACUGAGGGCUUAGUACAGUGAUAGAAUUCAAUUGUCAUCCUACCUAUCUGGUCAGGAUUCCUAGCAUCCUAUAAAGUAAAGUAUUUCAUAUUCAUCAAAAGUUCUAAUGUGACAUUUCUCCUGUGUGAAAAAAGUAUGAAUGGAACUUACAUAACUUUUUAAUAUGGUGCUGGAUUUUUCUCAGGGAGUUCAUUAUACUAAAUCAUUUUGUCAAUUUUUAAAUGAUGAGGGCAUAUCUUUUCCAAUGUAUCAUCUUCCAAUGUAUCAAGUUUAGGAUUUUAUACUUAUAAUGUUGUACUUAUUGGUCUGGACAGCUCUAUAAAGUAAUGCAAAAUAUUAUUGAUUUUGGGAAUUAGUGAUAUAAUUAAUUUUCUAGAAAAUAAACUCUGAAAUUAGAUUUCACAUUCCCCCUUUUUCUCCUCUAAAUAUGAGUCGACAUAUGUAAAAACCAGUCAGGUGGCCAUUGCUAUUUUAUAUGUAGUUAUUUUAUAUAUAUCGCUAUUUUGUUUUAUUCAUUAUUUUGUUUUCACCAAACUUUAGGAAUUUUUAAAGCAUUAAGAUCUUGGGCCAUUGGAGAGGUGGGGGAUGGUUCAUGGAGAGGUAAUAAUGUACAUAUUCUUUCAAUAGGUAGGAGGUAGCUAAACAAGUUUUAAGUGUACUAUAAUUUUCAUUGUGACAAGUUCGCUAUCACUUAUUAACAUUAAAAGUAAUUGCGAGUUAGAUGCUAGCUCUGUUUCUGGCACCAUCUGAGUCUCCUGAUAUCUUCAGAUCCUUCUAUUUGGAACUUGCAUAAUCACCUUUUACAUUCACAAAUAAGUUACUGAGUCUCUGAUGAUAGUCAUGAAAACAAAUUUUAAUUGAGUUUGGCAUGUCAAAACCCUUUCUUGGGUUUUAUGUUUGAUGUACCAUGCCACAUUUUCAGUGAAUAAAAACUGCCUCCUUGCAUAUUUAUUAUAUAUUCUCAGUUAGUGAGAUUUUGUUACACAAGCAGUCACCUUAUUAUUUUUUAUACGUGCACUUUGAUAUCACAGUGUUUCAUUGUCAAUUGACGUAAUGUAUCAGAAGUGGCACAGCUAAUGAGCACACAGUUGCCUUUAGUUCAUUUUACAUCGUGAAACCCUACUGGGGAAUAGGCUGUAAAACUUGGUGGAGGGGUUCUGACAUUUUAUAAAUGUCAUAUGUCAAUCCUACACUGUGAUGGCUGUGAAACACUGUGUGCUGAUGGUAUCAUAGUCAUAUGAUAGACCAUUUUCACUAGCAGGCACUAAAGAACAGGGUGUGUGUGUGUGCAUAUGUGUGUGAAAGACAUUUCUGUUUGCAAGUAAACUUUAAGCUUUUUGGCCUGUGUAUAGGAAUCAAGAAAGAGUGGUCAUUAUUUUAUUAAUAUAAAUUAGUAGAGACAAAAUCUUGGUGACAAAAUACAAAAUGUGUUAUGAAAACUUAAAUUCCACUUUUCUGUUCUUAAACACAAAGAAUAUUUUGAUCUUAGAACAAUAAUUAAGGUAUUUUCUGUUUCCAUUGAUCUAAAUUGCAAUUUGUAUUGGAGGAGCAAAAAGUCAGGGCAUCUUAUUUAAACUUCGCCUUUUUUAAAGGUAUGUUUUAAAAACUUGUUUAUGGUAUAAGGUGUUAACAGGUAAAUUUGGUCAGUUAUUCCUUAGUGCAUGAGGGUUUGGAUUUUUUGAAUAAAGGAAAUUGCAUUAUCAAUUGCAGAAUAACAAAUGUAGUUUCAUUUGUAUUGCUUCUAGGAGUUUAUGAACCAUAUUUUGUCUUGUGGUAACUAGAAUUAUGAACUUGGAAUGUCAUAGCAAAUGAUGGCCGGGGUAUUUUCAGUUCUGAAAUGUUUUUAUUUGUAAACUGGUUAAUUUAGUAUUCAAAUAUACUUAUUUUUUAAAAUAUAAAAUUUAUUUCCUCUGAGGCCAAUUGUAUGUGUCUGUGUUUACUGUUGUCAGAGGGCCUUUAAUGGCUCACUUUGCCCUCUGUUGUGACCAACCAGAAAGCAAAGAGAGGACAAAAAUGGAAAAAAAAAAAGAUAGAGGCUGUGAAACUGUGGUGAAAGGGGAGAUAAUAACAACACAGUUAAAUGAGAUUCGGCGAGUCUUCUGAUCUGUGAAUAUUUUUAUUAGAAACAUUUGUCAACCAGAUCGGCAUCUUCCAGUGUUACCUCUUCUCUAGUUGAUACGGGUCACCCCCCCUCACCUGCCGUAUUAUUCCCUCUCUUGCCAGGCUAAAAGCAGGAGCAGCACUGCCCUGCAAUUAUGUAAUGUCUUAUCAUUGUCAGGACACCUUCACUUACAACAAUCCCUGCCAUACACUUAUGCCGCAGGGAGGCAGGCAUUAUUUUUUCUAUUUCAGAGAAACGACUUGUCUUCGUUUCAUGUGACUAGUAAGAAGCAGAGCCAGCAAUGUUUCAUGACUUUUAUCAUUUCUAGCCCAGUAUUCCUUCCACCACACAAAGUAUUUGCCCCAUAAAUAUAUUUAGGUUUCUUCCCAUGCUAGAGAUUUUUAUGCAAACUUAAUAAUUAAUAACUUAAAGCAAAAGUGGGGUUUAUUGAAAGUUUUCUGGGCCAAACAGAUGUGCAUCUUCUGGGUCCUGUCUUCUGGGCAUGAUCUAAUAUUGUAUGCAGUAUUUAAUGAUUAUCAUUCAAAAAAUGAGGCGAGAAAUCAAUUGCUUUGUAAAAUCAUGAUAGUAUUAAGCUACAGCCUUUUUAAUGACUCUCUCUGUGGCCAGGCCUCACCAUGGUGACUUGAGUGUGUGGCACACCUUGGGAACUCCUGUUCGAUUUUAUCGGGGACAGGAUGAAUAGUGGUGCAGGGGAGCCUCACCAUGGAGAGAUUGCCACAGCUUUUCCCCUGUUCUCCUAGGAUCCACUUAAUGCGUUUACUAAUUAUGUUAGAAUUGUGAAAUUUAGCGGAAAGGACUGUGGGAAUGAGUUGUUUUUGUUGUGACGACUCCUUUAACUUGCCAACUUGAAUUUGAACCUUCUACUUUACAGGACCCCAAUUCUUCUUUAUACAGAAACAAAUAUAUAUUUCUAAGUUUUAAAACUUCCCACUCCACAAUUUAAAAUAGCUUUUGUGAAAUUUUUACUGAGAAGGCCACUUUGUGGGAAACUCCAGCAUCAUAUUUACUAAUAAACACUGAUAUUAGAGCUAGCAAUUUGUUUAUUUUUUAAAAGGGUGGUGGUUUGUUUCUUUUUCAUUGCCAUUGAAAUUAUCCCUAAUAUAUGGACCAAUUGUCUUGACUGAAUUAGUAAUAUAUGUUUUAAUACUUUUCCAAAUUUUUAAGUAAAAUUUGGUUUUAGGAUUCCUACUUUUAUAUUUUAAAUUUGGGAUUAAAUAUUAGUUUUGAGAUAUUGUUGAAAAAGUUUUAAGACAUAUUAUAACUUGAAAAGAUUUAGAAAAUUUCCAUGUUAAGCUGAAAAUUAUAUUUCUAUUAAAACUAGGUAGCAUUGUAAAAAUUGUGUGUGGUAAAAAAGUUAGGCCUCAGUUGUUUUUCUUCUUUUUUUGUUAUCUAGUUGUCUCCAUAGCAAAUAUGUGUAUAUGCAAUUGUGUGUUGGUUGGACUUAUGAGUAAUGUAAACAAUGUGUCUAGUGUUGAAGUGCUUCUUAUGAACAUCUUCUUUUUAAAAGUAAGAAUAAUAUUAGUUUUACUUUUAAGUGUGUUACCUGACAUAGCUUGUUACUGCUCUAUCAUCUGAAAAUAAUUGUAACUUAUAACUUUCAUUUCCUUUAAAUGAAGAAGGCAACAAUUUGAAAAUAUCAUUUUCUCAUGAAAGCUAAAAAUAAGAACUUUGUUUUUUUGGCAGUAUUGUUAUAAAUUAUCUGCCUAAACUAUUAACUGUAAAUACAUUGUUAGAGAUGUGCCAAGAGGAGACAACCCAUUACAUUUUCUUUGUUUAAAACUAUCUGGUUCUGUUGUUGGGUAAGACAAUUUAUUCAUACAAUCAUAUAAAAAUCAUAUUUAAUAAAGAACAAUCCAAGGCAAAGAGAAAAACAUGUCUUUAUCCAUAAGCAACCAGAUGAGAAAUGGAUUUUUAUUCAGUCAGAUCCUUUUAGUCAAUGAAACAGCAUUUUCAUGCAUAUUGCACUCAAGUGAUAAUUAAUAUACUCUAAUUCGGGACAUGAUGCUUGAAUUGAUGUACUGUCAUCAAUACCCCGUGUUAAAAUCAAACCUUGACAGGGGUUUAACACCCUGGAACAGGUCAUCAUAUAUAAUACUCUUUGCCUCUCAGUAUUUGUCUUCAACCAAGCAAAGUAUUACAAGAUGGGGUAAGAAAAAAAGGGAAAUAAUUACAAAUGAAGAGUGACGCGGGCUGUGAAUAGAACAUAUGUUAGGCUAGGCAGAGGCAUCAGUGAAUUAUAUCAUUUCAUGAUGAAGCGGCACUGGGGCUGAACGGGCCUAUUUUAAAACUUGAUGUAUUUUAUCUC